GAUGAACGCUGGCGGCGUGCUUAACACAUGCAAGUCGAACGGUGAAGGCGGAGCUUGCUCUGCUGGAUCAGUGGCGAACGGGUGAGUAACACGUGAGCAAUCUGCCCCUGACUCUGGGAUAAGCGCUGGAAACGGCGUCUAAUACUGGAUACGAGCUGCGAAGGCAUCUUCAGCAGCUGGAAAGAAUUUCGGUCAGGGAUGAGCUCGCGGCCUAUCAGCUUGUUGGUGAGGUAAUGGCUCACCAAGGCGUCGACGGGUAGCCGGCCUGAGAGGGUGACCGGACAAACUGGGACGGAGAAACGGCACAGACUCAUACGGGAGGCAGCAGUGGGGAAUAGUGCACAAUGGGCGAAAGCAUGAUGCAGCAAAGCCGCGUGAGGGACGACGGCCUUCGGGUUGUAAACCUCUUUUAGCAGGGAAGAAGCGAAAGUGACGGUACCUGCAGAAAAAGCGCCGGCUAACUACGUG
rnacentral:rRNA from 1 species